ACCUGCUGCCCCUUUCACAAAAGCUCUAUCCCAGAUGAUCCGUGGGGGUUACAGUGCUGUGAUAGUCACUUUUGGUUGCCGUUACCUUCCUGCUCUGAUUGGCCCAAUGAUAUGCUGGCUUCCAACCAAUCAGUGCUUUCUGACAGUCAAAUCUUGAGAGAAGUAUCACAUCUCUCAAGAAUUGGCUGUCAGAGGGCUCAAUAGCUUAGUGUGUGGGAAAGACUUUAUUAGCACUUUCUCCACUAUGAGAGGUCAGUCU